rnacentral:rRNA from 1 species
UUGGAAACGGCGGGAUCCCAUUCGCAUGCGCAUCUGAAGUUUUGGACUGUGAAGUGGUCAUACUGAUAACUGGUCAGUUCAUCAACAGCUCUGUAUAUUGUUUUCAUCUAGUUAUUAAGAUUACAUUAGCGAUGAAGUGAUUAGGGGUGCUGAUACUGACUGUCCUUUGUUGUCAUAUUAGUUCUUCCAUACUUACAAUGGGAGAAAGAGAGAGCUCCUCCU